GCCGAACACAUUAUGCCUCGCUUUCACUAUAUCGGAAGGGAUAAAAUAUGUCUCUUAUCAGAGAAAAACAAUAAAAUUGCACACUCCUAAUUCAUGUACACAGAGUUAUUUAAAGGAAUGGACUUCAGGAAGCUUCACAGAGAUCAUGACUGAUGGUUUUAAAAAGAGUAGAUUGGCCCACUUUAGGCCAGUUCUUGAUCAGGAUGAUGGGACAAUCAGGAG
rnacentral:lncRNA from 1 species